AGGGUUUGAUCCUGGCUCAGAGUGAACGCUGGCGGCGUGUUUUAGGCAUGCAAGUCGUGCGAGAAAGUACCCUUUGGGGUGCGAGUAAAGCGGCGGACGGGUGAGUAACACGUGGAUAAUCUACCAUUGAGAUCGGGAUAACUAUUCGAAAGAGUAGCUAAUACCGGAUGUGGUUAAUCUAGCUUUGGCUUAAUUAAUUAAAGAUGGCCUCUAUUUAUAAGCUAUCACUCAAUGAUGAGUCCGCGGCCUAUCAGCUUGUUGGUAAGGUAACGGCUUACCAAGGCAAUGACGGGUAGCUGGUCUGAGAGGAUGAUCAGCCACAGUGGAACUGAGACACGGUCCACACUCCUACGGGAGGCAGCAGCCAAGAAUCUUGGGCAAUGGGCGCAAGCCUGACCCAGCAACGCCGCGUGGAGGAUGAAGGCCUUCGGGUUGUAAACUCCUGUCAGAAGGGACGAACGUAUGCAGGCAAAUAGUCUGUGUACUUGACGGUACCUUCAAAGGAAGCCCCGGCUAAUUACGUGCCAGCAGCCGCGGUAAGACGUAUGGGGCAAGCGUUACUCGGAUUUACUGGGCGUAAAGGGCGUGUAGGUGGUGUCGAAAGUCAAAUGUGAAAGACCAUGGCUUAACUGUGGAACCGCAUUUGAAACUUCGAUACUUGAGUUCAGGUGAGGAGAAUGGAAUUCCAGGUGUAGGGGUGAAAUCUGUAGAUAUCUGGAAGAACACCAGUGGCGAAGGCGAUUCUCUAACCUGAUACUGACACUGAGGCGCGAAAGCGUGGGGAGCAAACAGGAUUAGAUACCCUGGUAGUCCACGCUGUAAACUAUGGACACUUGGUGUUGGAAGAGAUAUAUCUUCUAGUGCCGGAGCUAACGUGUUAAGUGUCCCGCCUGGGAAGUACGAUCGCAAGGUUGAAACUCAAAGGAAUUGACGGGGGCCCGCACAAGUGGUGGAGCAUGUGGCUUAAUUCGAUGAUACGCGAGGAACCUUACCAGGGUUUGACAUGUAUUUGACAGCCUCCGAAAGGAGGUCUCCCUUUUGGGCGGAUACACAGGUGCUGCAUGGUUGUCGUCAGCUCGUGCCGUGAGGUGUUGGGUUAAGUCCCGCAACGAGCGCAACCCUCAUUCCCUGUUGCUACCGGAUCAUGCCGGGCACUCUGGGAAAACUGCCGGUGAUAAACCGGAGGAAGGUGAGGAUGACGUCAAAUCAUCAUGGCCCUUAUACCCUGGGCUGCACACGUGCCACAAUGGUUGGUACAGAGGGUUGCAAUACCGCGAGGUGGAGCUAAUCCCAAAAAACCAGCCUCAGUUCGGAUUGAAGGCUGCAAUUCGCCUUCAUGAAGUUGGAAUCACUAGUAAUCGUGCAUCAGCUACGGCACGGUGAAUGCGUUCCCGGGCCUUGUACACACCGCCCGUCACACCAUGGAAGCCGAUUACACCCGAAGCCGAUGUAUCAACCGCAAGGAGAGAGUCGUCUAAGGUAUGAUUGGUGACUGGGGUGAAGUCGUAACAAGGUA
rnacentral:rRNA from 1 species